AACGAACGCUGGCGGCAUGCCUAACACAUGCAAGGCGAACGAAGCCUUCGGGCUUAGUGGCGCACGGGUGCGUAACGCGUGGGAAUCUGCCCUUGGGUUCGGAAUAACAGUUAGAAAUGACUGCUAAUACCGGAUGAUGUCUUCGGACCAAAGAUUUAUCGCCCAAGGAUGAGCCCGCGUAGGAUUAGGUAGUUGGUGGGGUAAUGGCCCACCAAGCCGACGAUCCUUAGCUGGUCCGAGAGGAUGAUCAGCAACACUGGGACUGAGACACGGCCCAGACUCCGACGGGAGGCAGCAGUGGGGAAUAUUAGACAAUGGGCGAAAGCUUGAUCCAGCAAUGCCGCGUGGGUGAUGAAGGCCUUAGGGUUGUAAAGCUCUUUUACCAGGGAUGAUAAUGACAGUACCUGGAGAAUAAGCUCCGGCUAACUCCGUGCCAGCCGCCGCGGUAAAAC
rnacentral:rRNA from 1 species